rnacentral:rRNA from 1 species
UACGUAGGGGGCAAGCGUUGUCCGGAAUCAUUGGGCGUAAAGCGCGCGUAGGCGGCUCGGAAAGUCGGGCGUGAAAUGCCGGGGCUCAACCCCGGGACUGCGUCCGAUACUUCCGAGCUGGAGGUAGGUAGGGGAGAUCGGAAUUCCUGGUGUAGCGGUGAAUGCGCAGAUAUCAGGAGGAACACCGGUGGCGAAGGCGGAUCUCUGGGCCUUACCUGACGCUGGAGGAGCGAAAGCGUGGGGAGCGAACAGG